rnacentral:rRNA from 1 species
UGGGGUGACUGCGUACCUUUUGUAUAAUGGGUCAGCGACUUAUAUUCUGUAGCAAGGUUAACCGAAUAGGGGAGCCGGAGGGAAACCGAGUCUUAAUUGGGCGUUAAGUUGCAGGGUAUAGACCCGAAACCCGGUGAUCUAGCCAUGGGUAGGUUGAAGGUUGGGUAACACUAACUGGAGGACCGAACCGACUAAUGUUGAAAAAUUAGCGGAUGACCUGUGGCUGGGGGUGAAAGGCCAAUCAAACCGGGAGAUAGCUGGUUCUCCCCGAAAGCUAUUUAGGUAGCGCCUCGUGAACUCAUCUCCGGGGGUAGAGCACUGUUUCGGCUAGGGGGCCAUCCCGGCUUACCAACCCGAUGCAAACUGCGAAUACCGGAGAAUGUUAUCACGGGAGACACACGGCGGGUGCUAACGUCCGUCGUGAAGAGGGAAACAACCCAGACCGCCAGCUAAGGUCCCAAAGUCAUGGUUAAGUGGGAAACGAUGUGGGAAGGCCCAGACAGCCAGGAUGUUGGCUUAGAAGCAGCCAUCAUUUAAAGAAAGCGUAAUAGCUCACUGGUCGAGUCGGCCUGCGCGGAAGAUGUAACGGGGCUAAACCAUGCACCGAAGCUGCGGCAGCGAACGUAUCACCCAAGACAACUUUGCGGAGUUGACGAUUGACGGAGCGAAGCGACGUCAAAGCGUUCAUUAAAGUCGAGUUGGCUUAGGGAUACGUUCGUUGGGUAGGGGAGCGUUCUGUAAGCCAGUGAAGGUGUGUCGUGAGGCAUGCUGGAGGUAUCAGAAGUGCGAAUGCUGACAUAAGUAACGAUAAAGCGGGUGAAAAGCCCGCUCGCCGGAAGACCAAGGGUUCCUGUCCAACGUUAAUCGGGGCAGGGUGAGUCGACCCCUAAGGCGAGGCCGAAAGGCGUAGUCGAUGGGAAACAGGUUAAUAUUCCUGUACUUGGUGUUACUGCGAAGGGGGGACGGAGAAGGCUAUGUUGGCCGGGCGACGGUUGUCCCGGUUUAAGCGUGUAGGUGUGUGUUCCAGGUAAAUCCGGUUCACUUUAACACUGAGGCGUGAUGACGAGGCACUACGGUGCUGAAGCAACAAAUGCCCUGCUUCCAGGAAAAGCCUCUAAGCAUCAGGUAACAUCAAAUCGUACCCCAAACCGACACAGGUGGUCAGGUAGAGAAUACCAAGGCGCUUGAGAGAACUCGGGUGAAGGAACUAGGCAAAAUGGUGCCGUAACUUCGGGAGAAGGCACGCUGACACGUAGGUGAAGUGAUUUACUCAUGGAGCUGAAGUCAGUCGAAGAUACCAGCUGGCUGCAACUGUUUAUUAAAAACACAGCACUGUGCAAACACGAAAGUGGACGUAUACGGUGUGACGCCUGCCCGGUGCCGGAAGGUUAAUUGAUGGGGUCAGCGCAAGCGAAGCUCCUGAUCGAAGCCCCGGUAAACGGCGGCCGUAACUAUAACGGUCCUAAGGUAGCGAAAUUCCUUGUCGGGUAAGUUCCGACCUGCACGAAUGGCGUAAUGAUGGCCAGGCUGUCUCCACCCGAGACUCAGUGAAAUUGAACUCGCUGUGAAGAUGCAGUGUACCCGCGGCAAGACGGAAAGACCCCGUGAACCUUUACUAUAGCUUGACACUGAACAUUGAGCCUUGAUGUGUAGGAUAGGUGGGAGGCUUUGAAGCGUGGACGCCAGUCUGCGUGGAGCCGACCUUGAAAUACCACCCUUUAAUGUUUGAUGUUCUAACGUGGACCCGU